GCCCGGUUAGCUCAGCUGGUUAGAGCGUGGUGCUAAUAACGCCAAGGUCGUGGGUUCGAUCCCCGUACUGACCA
rfam:Danio rerio chromosome 4, GRCz11 reference primary assembly.